UCUGAGGAGACUUGACUUGGCGUCCCCUUCCUGCGGCCAGCUCGAUGCCCCUUCUGAGGGGUUACCUCCUUCAGUGUUUCUUGAGGGGGCGGAGCAGGUGUUGAAGCCACAGAGGGGCGCCCUCGGUGACGGGCAGAUGAAGACCUGGCCCUCGGCAUCAUGGUGUUAAGAGUGUCCCGCUGGGGCAAAAUGUGCUUGAUGGCCUCUGUCUGCUGAACCGGCACCAUCAUUCGGAAGCUUGAUAGCACUAUGCCAUCUCAGCAUGACACGUGAGACAGCGACCGUAUCUAUUGUGAAAGGUAAGGAAAGUACCGCAUCUGGACGCACACGGUCGGAAAGACAUCUUGAAAGAUAUUCUUUACCGUGCAGUCUGUAGAUAUUUGCUCUUUUAGGCUGAUAUGCCAUGGGGAGGACCACAGCACUUAUCUAUGCUCAACAAGGCAAUCUCUCCGCUGAAUGCACAACAAGAUAAAUCACAGCCGAGAAAUUCCUGAGGAUCUUCUUUUCCUGUAGAAUCUUCCUUCUAAUUCAAAGAGAGAUGCACUUACGAAACAGUCGGCUCAGAAGCAAAAAUCUGAAUGAGUGGAUGCACGCCGCCAUCUUAUAAUUCAACUCGCCAAUUUCCAUAGGCCUUUUCUUGUAAUGCUUAGAGGUGAAGUGAGACCCCAAAUGUCAGUCAACGUAACAUUGAACGUGACUGACUGAAAGGAAACUCUUUUAUUUACUGUUUAGUGUAAGCGGCCAUAAAAGGUCAAAAGAGAAAUGUACCAUUUACUCGACAAAAAGGUUUGUUUAUUUUUUCUGUUUUAUGCAAAACUGAGAUAUUUUAAGAUGUUUUCACUUGUUAACAGAAAACUAACAUUACUCUUUUUUUCUGACUGUCGGCCGGAAUGCCGCCACAAUGCUGAUAACAAUGACUGUUUCUAGUCUGGAUGUCGUCUGCAACGUUGGAGGUAUUUUGGAGCCUUUUCUUGUGAAUGCCAUAGUAUCAAUGAUAACAUCAACUGGUUUGUGGUCAUGUUGUCUGCAUAUGAGGCGUACUGGAGUCUUUUCUUGUUAUUUCCGUCAUAGUGGUGCUAACAACAGGUUCAUUGAACCUUUGUGGCACCAGAUGUAGUGAAAGUCACAGAUCAGGUGGAAUUCUGGAAAGAGGGUGCAAAGAAAAAGCAUCAGCCUGAAUUCCAUCCUGGUGUUCCUCAUCGAAACACUUGUCAACUUUGACUGGCAAAAUUAUUUAAAUUUAACAGAACACCACAAACUACUUUUUGAACUGUAUUGUUCUAUUUUAUUUGCUUAUUUUUAUUUUGUGUAAAGCCUGUUUUGCUUUUCAGUAUGUGUAUUUUUUGCCACGAUACAGAGUCCCCAGGGGACUGUGGUGCAUGAUGGCCUUUUUUCAGCUAGUGCGUCCUAGAGGUCAGGAUUUGUAAAAGUUCAACAUUUAAAAAGAAUAUUAUCAGAACUAAGGCUCUAAGAACUAAGAACUGAGUUAUUGUGAUUUUUAUGGGGUUGGGUGGUAAAAAUCAUGAAUUACAGUACUGUACUGCAAACAUUUUUACAGUAAUUUACUGGUAAAUCUCUUGACAGUGCAGAGUUAAACUGUGUCAGAACAAAUUCAUCUUGAUAAUGCCAUCCUUCUGUUAGACUGUCUCACAAAUGAAUUAGGUUGAAUAGCUGUCUGCAGUCAGCUGUUAAAUUUAAGUACACAAUUAGAUAAUACCAAUUUAGGUCAAUCAAGCAAUGCUUGAUUUUAUUUAGUUUGUGGUGUAAAAAGGUCACAUUAGCAAUUAAAGAAAAAAACACUUCAAACAUGGUCAGGUCAAGGUAACUAAAUAAUUUUUGGUCCAAAAUUUUUAUCCGUUUUACUGGUAGUCCACUGUAUGAAGAAUUUUUGGGUAUAAUGUGUCACAGUUUACUUUCUUUUGCUAUCCUCACUUACAUAACUGAACUAUAGUGUC